AGAAGAUUAAUUGAAUUAAUUUGAGACUUCAACAUAAACUUCGCUUAGCAAGCAUGAAGAUUGAUACUGUUGCCAUGGAAAACAUCGAUUUACAGAGCAUGGAAUAUAUACUAGAUGGACACAAAUGUAAAGCCUACAGAAAGUGUCUCUUCUCUGGCCACAGAGUCAAGCCUCCCUUAGGCAAGGAGGUGGACCGCUGGCAAAGGCUGACCUAACACCUGAGCUCUUUCUCUCCACCUACG
rnacentral:lncRNA from 1 species